rnacentral:rRNA from 1 species
AGUCGNNCGGCAGCACGGAGCUUGCUCUGGUGGCGAGUGGCGAACGGGUGAGUAAUGCGUCGGAACGUAUCCAAUAAUGGGGGAUAACGCAGCGAAAGCUGUGCUAAUACCGCAUACGCCCUCCGGGGGAAAGCAGGGGAUCGUAAGACCUUGCGUUAAUGGAGCGGCCGACGUCUGAUUAGCUAGUUGGUAGGGUAAAGGCCUACCAAGGCGACGAUCAGUAGCUGGUCUGAGAGGAUGAUCAGCCACACUGGGACUGAGACACGGCCCAGACUCCUACGGGAGGCAGCAGUGGGGAAUUUUGGACAAUGGGCGCAAGCCUGAUCCAGCCAUUCCGCGUGAGUGAAGAAGGCCUUCGGGUUGUAAAGCUCUUUCAGGAGGGAAGAAACGAUUGUGGCUAAUACCCAUGAUUAAUGACGGUACCUUCAGAAGAAGCACCGGCUAACUACGUGCCAGCAGCCGCGGUAAUACGUAGGGUGCGAGCGUUAAUCGGAAUUACUGGGCGUAAAGCGUGCGCAGGCGGUUUUUCAAGUCUGAUGUGAAAUCCCCGGGCUUAACCUGGGAACUGCGUUGGAAACUGAAAGACUAGAGUGCGGCAGAGGGGGGUAGAAUUCCACGUGUAGCAGUGAAAUGCGUAGAUAUGUGGAGGAAUACCGAUGGCGAAGGCAGCCCCCUGGGUCGACACUGACGCUCAUGCACGAAAGCGUGGGUAGCAAACAGGAUUAGAUACCCUGGUAGUCCGCGCCCUAAACGAUGUCAACUAGUUGUUGGGGAGGGAGACCUCCUUAGUAACGCAGCUAACGCGUGAAGNUGACCGCCUGGGGANUACGGUCGCAAGANUAAACUCAAAGGAAUUGACGGGGGCCCGCACNAGCGGNG